UUCGAGCGUCAUUACAACCCUCAAGCUCUGCUUGGUAUUGGGCCUCACCCGUCAGGGUGGGCCUUAAAAUCAGUGGCGGUGCCAUUCGGCUUCAAGCGUAGUAAUUUUCUCGCUCUGGAGUACCGUUUGCGUGCCUGCCAGCAAACCCAUAUUUUUUAAAGGUUGACCUCGGAUCAGGUAGGGAUACCCGCUGAACUUAA
rnacentral:misc_RNA from 1 species